GUAUCAAAAAGUUAAUUUGAUAUUGUAAUUUUAGAUUAAUAUGUUUUGUUUUUAGUCAAAUCACAUUGACCUCUCCAUAUAUCAGGUUGUCAUAUCAGACACACCAUGGAGAAAGUUGUAUGGUGAAUAUUUAAAAUUUUUCAAAUUCAUUAUUCAUAACAUUUCAAAUUAUUUCACAUUCUAGCUCAACCAAAAACUAAACCCUCAAAAUCUCACAGUGACUCUACAUCAUCUAGUCAAGAACAAGCAGAUAUUUUAGACAAUGUAGAUGUUCCUUCACAAAUAG